CGCGUAGGCGGCGAUAUAAGUCGGGUGUGAAAGUCCACGGCUCAACCGUGGAAGUGCAUCUGAAACUGUAUGGCUUGAGUAUGGGAGGGGAAAGUGGAAUUCCCGGUGUAGAGGUGAAAUUCGUAGAGAUCGGGAGGAACACCUGUGGCGAAGGCGACUUUCUGGACCAAUACUGACGCUGAGGCGCGAAAGCGUGGGGAGCAAACAGGAUUAGAUACCCUGGUAGUCC
rnacentral:rRNA from 1 species